rnacentral:sRNA from 1 species
AUCUGGCUGCAGUUCCGCAUUGCCUUUGACCACGGAUGUACUGGCACUGAUGCGAUAGCGGAUGGCGAAAGGCCGGGUUAUUCCGGCCUUUUUGUUU